UACGUAGGAGGCAAGCGUUAUCCGGAAUUAUUGGGCGUAAAGCGUCCGUAGGUGGUUUAGUAAGUCUGCUGUUAAAGCGCGGGGCUUAACUCCGUAUCGGCAGUGGAAACUACUAGACUAGAGUGUGGUAGGGGUAGAGGGAAUUCCCAGUGUAGCGGUGAAAUGCGUAGAUAUUGGGAAGAACACCGGUGGCGAAGGCGCUCUACUGGGCCAUAACUGACACUGAUGGACGAAAGCUAGGGGAGCGAAAGGG
rnacentral:rRNA from 1 species